rnacentral:rRNA from 1 species
GGGUUGUGAGGUUAAGCGACUAAGCGUACACGGUGGAUGCCCUGGCAGUCAGAGGCGAUGAAGGACGUGCUAAUCUGCGAUAAGCGUCGGUGAGGUGAUAUGAACCGUUAUAACCGGCGAUUUCCGAAUGGGGAAACCCAGUGUGWUUCGWCACACUAUCAUUAACUGAAUCCAUAGGUUAAUGAGGCGAACCGGGGGAACUGAAACAUCUAAGUACCCCGAGGAAAAGAAAUCAACCGAGAUUCCCCCAGUAGCGGCGAGCGAACGGGGAGGAGCCCAGAGCCUGAAUCAGUGUGUGUGUUAGUGGAAGCGUCUGGAAAGGCGCGCGAUACAGGGUGACAGCCCCGUACACAAAAAUGCACAUAUUGUGAGCUCGAUGAGUAGGGCGGGACACGUGGUAUCCUGUCUGAAUAUGGGGGGACCAUCCUCCAAGGCUAAAUACUCCUGACUGACCGAUAGUGAACCAGUACCGUGAGGGAAAGGCGAAAAGAACCCCGGCGAGGGGAGUGAAAAAGAACCUGAAACCGUGUACGUACAAGCAGUGGGAGCCUCUUAAUGGGGUGACUGCGUACCUUUUGUAUAAUGGGUCAGCGACUUAUAUUCUGUAGCAAGGUUAACCGAAUAGGGGAGCCGAAGGGAAACCGAGUCUUAACUGGGCGUUAAGUUGCAGGGUAUAGACCCGAAACCCGGUGAUCUAGCCAUGGGCAGGUUGAAGGUUGGGUAACACUAACUGGAGGACCGAACCGACUAAUGUUGAAAAAUUAGCGGAUGACUUGUGGCUGGGGGUGAAAGGCCAAUCAAACCGGGAGAUAGCUGGUUCUCCCCGAAAGCUAUUUAGGUAGCGCCUCGUGAAUUCAUCUCCGGGGGUAGAGCACUGUUUCGGCAAGGGGGUCAUCCCGACUUACCAACCCGAUGCAAACUGCGAAUACCGGAGAAUGUUAUCACGGGAGACACACGGCGGGUGCUAACGUCCGUCGUGAAGAGGGAAACAACCCAGACCGCCAGCUAAGGUCCCAAAGUCAUGGUUAAGUGGGAAACGAUGUGGGAAGGCCCAGACAGCCAGGAUGUUGGCUUAGAAGCAGCCAUCAUUUAAAGAAAGCGUAAUAGCUCACUGGUCGAGUCGGCCUGCGCGGAAGAUGUAACGGGGCUAAACCAUGCACCGAAGCUGCGGCAGCGACACUAUGUGUUGUUGGGUAGGGGAGCGUUCUGUAAGCCUGUGAAGGUGGCCUGUGAGGGUUGCUGGAGGUAUCAGAAGUGCGAAUGCUGACAUAAGUAACGAUAAAGCGGGUGAAAAGCCCGCUCGCCGGAAGACCAAGGGUUCCUGUCCAACGUUAAUCGGGGCAGGGUGAGUCGACCCCUAAGGCGAGGCCGAAAGGCGUAGUCGAUGGGAAACAGGUUAAUAUUCCUGUACUUGGUGUUACUGCGAAGGGGGGACGGAGAAGGCUAUGUUGGCCGGGCGACGGUUGUCCCGGUUUAAGCGUGUAGGCUGGUUUUCCAGGCAAAUCCGGAAAAUCAAGGCUGAGGCGUGAUGACGAGGCACUACGGUGCUGAAGCGACAAAUGCCCUGCUUCCAGGAAAAGCCUCUAAGCAUCAGGUAACAUCAAAUCGUACCCCAAACCGACACAGGUGGUCAGGUAGAGAAUACCAAGGCGCUUGAGAGAACUCGGGUGAAGGAACUAGGCAAAAUGGUGCCGUAACUUCGGGAGAAGGCACGCUGAUAUGUAGGUGAAGCGACUUGCUCGUGGAGCUGAAAUCAGUCGAAGAUACCAGCUGGCUGCAACUGUUUAUUAAAAACACAGCACUGUGCAAACACGAAAGUGGACGUAUACGGUGUGACGCCUGCCCGGUGCCGGAAGGUUAAUUGAUGGGGUUAGCGGUAACGCGAAGCUCUUGAUCGAAGCCCCGGUAAACGGCGGCCGUAACUAUAACGGUCCUAAGGUAGCGAAAUUCCUUGUCGGGUAAGUUCCGACCUGCACGAAUGGCGUAAUGAUGGCCAGGCUGUCUCCACCCGAGACUCAGUGAAAUUGAACUCGCUGUGAAGAUGCAGUGUACCCGCGGCAAGACGGAAAGACCCCGUGAACCUUUACUAUAGCUUGACACUGAACAUUGAGCCUUGAUGUGUAGGAUAGGUGGGAGGCUUUGAAGUGUGGACGCCAGUCUGCAUGGAGCCGACCUUGAAAUACCACCCUUUAAUGUUUGAUGUUCUAACGUGGGCCCCUUACCGGGGUUGCGGACAGUGUCUGGUGGGUAGUUUGACUGGGGCGGUCUCCUCCUAAAGAGUAACGGAGGAGCACGAAGGUUGGCUAAUCCUGGUCGGACAUCAGGAGGUUAGUGCAAUGGCAUAAGCCAGCUUGACUGCGAGCGUGACGGCGCGAGCAGGUGCGAAAGCAGGUCAUAGUGAUCCGGUGGUUCUGAAUGGAAGGGCCAUCGCUCAACGGAUAAAAGGUACUCCGGGGAUAACAGGCUGAUACCGCCCAAGAGUUCAUAUCGACGGCGGUGUUUGGCACCUCGAUGUCGGCUCAUCACAUCCUGGGGCUGAAGUAGGUCCCAAGGGUAUGGCUGUUCGCCAUUUAAAGUGGUACGCGAGCUGGGUUUAGAACGUCGUGAGACAGUUCGGUCCCUAUCUGCCGUGGGCGCUGGAGAACUGAGGGGGGCUGCUCCUAGUACGAGAGGACCGGAGUGGACGCAUCACUGGUGUUCGGGUUGUCAUGCCAAUGGCACUGCCCGGUAGCUAAAUGCGGAAGAGAUAAGUGCUGAAAGCAUCUAAGCACGAAACUUGCCCCGAGAUGAGUUCUCCCUGACUCCUUGAGAGUCCUGAAGGAACGUUGAAGACGACGACGUUGAUAGGCCGGGUGUGUAAGCGCAGCGAUGCGUUGAGCUAACCGGUACUAAUGAACCGUGAGGCUUAACCUUACAACGCCGAAG